UACGGAGGGCGCAAGCGUUGUUCGGAAUCACUGGGCGUAAAGCGCGUGUAGGCGGCUUUGCAAGUCGGGUGUGAAAUCCCGAGGCUCAACCUCGGAACUGCACUCGAUACUGCUUGGCUCGAAUCCCGGAGAGGGUGGCGGAAUUCCCGGUGUAGGGGUGAAAUCCGUAGAUAUCGGGAGGAACAUCAGUGGCGAAGGCGGCCACCUGGACGGUGACUGACGCUGAGGCGCGAAAGCGUGGGGAGCAAACAGG
rnacentral:rRNA from 1 species